GACGAAGGUGGCUAGCGUUGCUCGGAUUUACUGGGCAUAAAGCGCGCGUAGGUGGUCGUGUAAGCGGGGGAUGAAAGCCCAAGGCUCAACCUUGGAAUUGCCUUUGAUACUGAGGGCCUUGAGACCGGAAGAGGUCGGCGGAACUGCGAGUGUAGAGGUGAAAUUCGUAGAUAUGACAUAGAACACCAAUUGCGAAGGCAGCUUACUACACAAAUAUUGACGCUGAGGCACGAAAGCGUGGGGAUCAAACAGG
rnacentral:rRNA from 1 species